AUGCUCCACCCAGUGCACCGCCUCCCUGCCACCCCUUCCCGCCCGGCCGUCCACCCGCACGUCUCCCCCGCGCCGCCCUCCCUUCGUCUCCGACGAGUGGCCGGGACGAGGCCGACGACGCCUGUGGUAUGCUGCUCCGGUUUCGUGGGUUCGCUGCCUGUAGCGAAUCAGGGGAGCGAAUUCGAACCUCGAUCCAGAUCGAUCUAUGGGGGUCGGGGUUCCGUGGCCAUCGAUCCGAGAUUCAUGGCAUCGAAAAAUAGUACCAGAGGCAGAGGUAAACACCUAGCAUCACCUAGUGCUAGCUUAAAUCAUGCACCAUCACCAAGAUUUCGCCAUCGGAGGGGUUCACGGUUUAUCGUUCGAGCUGAAUCAGAUUUCUAUUCCGUACUGGGCGUGUCGAGAAAUGCUAGUAAAUCUGAAAUCAAGAGUGCCUAUCGGAAACUUGCUCGGAGCUAUCACCCUGACGUGAACAAAGAGCCUGGCGCUGAACAAAAGUUUAAGGAUAUCAGCAAUGCUUAUGAGGUUUUGUCUGAUGAUGAGAAGCGAGCGAUCUAUGAUAAAUAUGGAGAAGCUGGUCUGAAGGGUUCUGGCAUGGGAACGGGAGAUUACUCAAACCCAUUUGAUCUCUUUGAGUCACUAUUCGAAGGAUUUGGUGGAAUGGGUGGAAUGGGCGGGGGCCGUGCUGCUCGUAACAGGCCAAUGCAGGGUGAUGACGAGAGCUACAAUCUGGUUCUCAACUUCAAGGAAGCGGUGUUUGGUGUAGAGAAAGAGAUUGAGAUAACUAGGCUGGAAGGCUGUAAUACUUGCGACGGAAGUGGCGCCAAGCCUGGCACCAAGCCAACCACGUGUAAAACUUGUGGUGGUCAGGGCCAGGUGGUCUCCUCCACAAGAACACCACUUGGAAUAUUCCAGCAGGUAUCCACAUGCAAUACUUGCGGUGGCACUGGUGAAUUCUCCACCCCAUGCAAAACCUGUGGGGGCGAUGGCCGUGUGCGCAAGACAAAGAGGAUCAGUCUGAAGGUUCCCGCAGGAGUGGAUUCUGGAAGCAGGUUGAGGGUCCGUUCUGAGGGUAAUGCUGGUCGGAGAGGAGGCCCGCCAGGAGACCUUUAUGUCUUUAUUGAUGUUCUCUCGGAUUCAGUUCUUAAGCGAGAUGGGACAAGCAUUCUCUACACAUGCAAGGUUUCUUACAUUGAUGCAAUUCUUGGGACAACUGUCAAGGUCCCCACUGUUGAUGGGGUGGUUGACCUGAAGAUCCCCUCGGGGACCCAGCCAGGUACAACUCUGGUGAUGUCCAAGAAAGGUGUUCCACUUCUUGGUAAAUCAAAUGCUCGCGGAGACCAGCUGGUGCGUGUCCAGGUUGAGAUUCCAAAGCGUCUAAGCAGCGAUGAGAGAAAGCUGAUCGAAGAGCUUGCAAACCUCAACAAGGCCGAGCCAGCAAACAGUAGGAGAUGA
rnacentral:rRNA from 1 species